UGCAAGCAUGGCUCUGUUGAGAAAGACUGGCUAAUUAUGAGACUUGAUUUCUGUUUUCUAGUGUUACAGGCUAAUGCAGUGUUUCACUCUAGAUCUAGAGGGAGAUGUAAAUGUUUUUGGCUCGUUUACUUUUUUCAAAUUGUGAUGCAUAAACAACCACAGAGAAAUGAGGGAAGGUCAACAAAAUUAAUGAGUGCUACAUGGCCUCAGAAGGAGCUUAGGCUAGCAAAACUCAUGAGGGCUGAAGAGGUGAGGAACUACUAAACAUCUAAGGUUUCUUCUAAUGCAAGAUGGGAAGAAAACUGAAAUUGUAAAGUUUCAGAGGACACAUAGGUGACCUGUUUCCAAAGAACAGGUAAGUGCAGGAACAAGACUGCAGAAGCUGACUGCUGGGUUUCUGUAACCAAGCCUGCUAAGGACCGCUCAAACAUCUACCGAGAAGGGGUGAGCAUCGGCAGCCUUGCUUUGGAGCUGAAAACUGGACCAGACCACCUCUCCCUGUCCCUUGUGGUGCUGCAGUAGCAAGACUCCAGAGAUCACACCUCUGCUUGCAAGUAGGAUAAUUCAAUUGAUACUGCUCCCCGAAAUUCCCAUGGCCCCUUCUGCAUUCCUCACUUCAUCCCUAGCCUUAGAAUGCCUCCUGUAAUUAACUGGCUGCCAAUGACAUAUUUUGUGUUAGAAAAGGCACUCUUGGUAGUGAGAAAAGUGGU